rnacentral:lncRNA from 1 species
UUCGGGAUGCUCAUCGUGAGCAGGGCGUCAUUUUGAAAUAUGACAAACUUGGUAUCAUAGCACAAUUCAUGGUCCUAAGGUAUCUACGAAGUCGCGUCAGAUAGAGUCCUUUUUAUGGGUGUGUAGUACGUCACACUUAUAAGGAGGAUGCGAAUGUCUCUUAUUUCUUUAAGUUCUAGUUUGUGUUGUAGAGUUUGAAUGUCCCCUAACUCAUGAUUUCCUAUAUUUUAGAGAUUGAUUAUGCCUCCC